rnacentral:rRNA from 1 species
CGCGUGAGAAUCUGGCUUCAGGUUGGGGACAACAGUUGGAAACGACUGCUAAUACCGAAUGUGCCGAGAGGUGAAAGAUUUAUUGCCUGAAGAAGAGCUCGCGUCUGAUUAGCUAGUUGGUGGGGUAAGAGCUUACCAAGGCGACGAUCGGUAGCUGGUCUGAGAGGACGAUCAGCCACACUGGGACUGAGACACGGCCCAGACUCCUACGGGAGGCAGCAGUGGGGAAUUUUCCGCAAUGGGCGAAAGCCUGAUGCAGCCAUGCCGCGUGUGUGAAGAAGGCUCUAGGGUUGUAAAGCA